rnacentral:rRNA from 1 species
AAAAACAUAGCCUUAAGAUAAUUAUUUAAGGUUAAACCUGCCCAAUGUAAGUUUAAUCAAUGGCCGCGGUACUUUGACCGUGCUAAGGUAGCGCAAUCAAUUGGCUUUUAAUUGAAGUCAGGUAUGAAAGGAAUCACGGGGUUAAGCUGUCUCUUAACUAUUUUAUUGAAAUUACUAUAUAGGUGAAAAAGCCUAUAUUAAGAAAAAGGACGAGAAGACCCUUAGAGUUUAUCUUAAAUUGAAAUUACUUUUCAAAACAGUUUAGUUGGGGCAACAGGGGAGCAAAAACUAAUCUCCCUAUAAAACAAAUCGAUUAUUUUAGGUGUGAGUAAACUACCUUAGGGAUAACAGCAUAAUUUUAUAUAUAAGUUUGUGACCUCGAUGUUGGACUAGGAAACUAAGAGGCUAGCCGCCUCUUAGGUAAGUUCUGUUCGAACUAAUUAUUCCUACGUGAUCUG